rnacentral:rRNA from 1 species
AGCAGUCGCCGCGGUAACACGGAGGAUCCAAGCGUUAUCCGGAAUCAUUGGGUUUAAAGGGUCCGUAGGCGGUCUUGUAAGUCAGUGGUGAAAGCCCAUCGCUCAACGGUGGAACGGCCAUUGAUACUGCAGGACUUGAAUUAUUGGGAAGUAACUAGAAUAUGUAGUGUAGCGGUGAAAUGCUUGAGAUUACAUGGAAUACCAAUUGCGAAGGCAGGUUACUACCAAUUGAUUGACGCUGAUGGACGAAAGCGUGGGUAGCGAACAGGAUUAGAUACCCCUGUAGUCCCUGUCUCUUAUACA